rnacentral:rRNA from 1 species
GACGAACGCUGGCGGCGUGCUUAACACAUGCAAGUCGAACGAAGAGCGAUGGAAGCUUGCUUCUAUCAAUCUUAGUGGCGCACGGGUGAGUAACGCGUAAUCAACCUGCCCUUCAGAGGGGGACAACAGUUGGAAACGACUGCUAAUACCGCAUACGAUCUAAUCUCGGCAUCGAGGAUAGAUGAAAGGUGGCCUCUACAUGUAAGCUAUCACUGAAGGAGGGGAUUGCGUCUGAUUAGCUAGUUGGAGGGGUAACGGCCCACCAAGGCGAUGAUCAGUAGCCGGUCUGAGAGGAUGAACGGCCACAUUGGGACUGAGACACGGCCCAGACUCCUACGGGAGGCAGCAGUGGGGAAUCUUCCGCAAUAGACGAAAGUCUGACGGAGCAACGCCGCGUGAGUGAUGACGGCCUUCGGGUUGUAAAGCUCUGUUAAUCGGGACGAAAGGCCUUCUUGCGAACAGUUAGAAGGAUUGACGGUACCGGAAUAGAAAGCCACGGCUAACUACGUG